rnacentral:lncRNA from 1 species
AAUCCUCCACUACUACAAUUCACAAUUUUUCCAAACUCUUACUCUCACAUAAGAGAACUCUCUCUUCUUGUCUGCAUUCUGACUUUCACAAGAUUACUGCGUUCCCUAUAUGUUUCUUGAAACAGAUAUGUCUCGAUUUUAAUUUAAGUUUCAGCAUCACCCCAAUGUGUUUACUUACAGUCUUUCUAUCCAUGUCUACUUUACUGUUUAUGUAGAUUUCAACAUUUAACAUAGUAUGUCUAUGUUCUACUUCCUGUUUCUACUGUGAAUCUUUGCUCCCUCCCAUUACCCCUAUGUGUUUGUGAGUGGUGACUUAGGGCAUGGAGCCAUGAGUUGUUGUCCAAGAAUUGAGUUAUGAACCAAUGAGGUUUUAGACUCUAAACAGGCUAGAGGUUGUACCAGCAUAUCCCAUUACUGGAUAUACCCAUCACCCUGCUCUUCUUGUGUUCUUGCAAAUUACCCACUACCCUAUAACCCAAUGUGCACUGAUUUUAAGUUAUUCCCCUUUUCCUUUUUCUCCUUUCAGAAUUUCACUUCUGCAGUUGCACUCUCUUUAGGAUUAGUAAUCCCAAAUACCUCUAGGAUUGAUAGGAUCGGGAUGGAUAGUAGCAUGCAAUAGAUAAAUGAGACCUUUAUGCAUUUAAUACCUUAACAUGGUAGGAAAGGAUAGAUAUGGAUAUGUUGACCGGUGCUCUAAUACCACGUGUAGCCCAUCUCUGAGGAGUGAUUAACGGGUAUUGCCUUGAUGGGAUCUAUAUUAUUUAUAAGCCUAGGAUCCCCCUCCCUUUGGUAUUUGUCUCUUUAAAUUUUUAAAAUGUUCCUUGUAAAUCAACUCCAUCCUAUGCCUUCAAACUUCUUUUAUUUCUAACCGUUAUGUGAAAUCCCCUCUUAUGUGAUACUCUUACUGGCUUAUAUGUUAUUUGUAUUUAAGUCAUAACAAUAGUCUGGCCAGGAACCACACUAGUGGAUCUUGAGGGGUGUCUAACACCUUCCCCUCGGGAUAAUUUCAAGCCCUUACCUGAUAUCUUAUUAUCCAAAUUGAACCACCCUUAGUGUCCUAAUGCACUAUAAUCAUUAGGUUGCGACUCUUCAAUUCUCUUAAACCCAAUUCCCAAAAGGGAACGAGUUGUCUUCACAAAUGUCAAAAAUCUCGAUUUCGCGAGAAAAAGGGGAUACGACAGCAUGACGACUCUGCUGGGGACUUUCUUUUAGGAUUUUACCAUUUUAAACUAUUACUGUGACUUUAUAUUUCUUUAUGCAUUUAUUUGUUUAACCUUUUUAAGCUUUUAAUUCCUUCCCUUACUAUGAAACUAACUUGUCUCUUGUUUCUUACCCUAAUUUCUUUUUAUUGCAUUCCUUUAUUACUGUUUUAAAUUUAUUGUAAUUAUUAUUCAUAUAAAUGUGUCAAUACGUGGAAACUUGUUUUAAUUAUUUAAACUGCAUAUUGUCACCAUCAUAUUUCACUCGUUCCAAAUGAAAUACCAUAGCAACGCUUAUAAUGAGUGUUUGUGCUCUUCCAAUAUUAUCACCCCAUAAAUUCGGCAAAAGCAUAUUUGUGGUAACACCAGUCGAUCAACAAUGUAGCCAACGGUUCCACCCCUUUCCCGCUUUAGUUGUCCGCUCAAGGGUACUAGUCUAGUACUCCUUAGAAACCUUACUCUGUGUAAUUAUGCAUGCAUCAUGGUGAAACUUAGUAGAGUUAGUUAUGUAGUCCGCAUAAUGACUCUUUAAGAUUGUCCAAAGUCCACUGGGUUUCCCCAAAUCCCAAAUGGACACUACCACAUUUUGUGAAUUUAUUUGGAGAAUUAAAUGCUUUUAUGCCGAUUAUUGAUAUUAGUUGUCGAGUUUGGUGGGGGUUAAGAGCCUAACCCUUUGUUUUGUAGAAACAUGAGUCACGAGGUCCACAAAUUUUUCAUGAUCACCAACAUCCACCCCAAACUACUAAGUUGGUGGAAGGAUAUUCACUCCAGUGAUCAGACGCUCGUCUGGAAAUAUUUAGGAAGGAUAUGGCCGUCGGCGCCAACAAACACUUGAUCUAUUUGGAGCGAGGAGUCGAAGACUGCUGGACUACUGAAAGAAAUGAAGGCGGGCAUCUAGCCAGAGGCUACUUACUGCUGGGACUGCAUGAGAUAGGAAAGCCGUUCGAUAGAGCCGAUGAUGCCGAGUUUGGGGAAGGUCCCUCUAGGACCAAAUAGAUAGCAAUUUCCAUUUAUGCUUUAUAAAAUGUAAUAAGGUCGAUGACCAUUAGUGAUUUUUAUUAUUCAGUGUCAUUUUGGGAUUUAUCUACCUUUUUGUUAAUGAAAUGAG